rnacentral:snRNA from 1 species
GCCAGUGGCGCGAAGCUACCGUGCGCUGGA